GACGAACGCUGGCGGCGUGCUUAACACAUGCAAGUCGAACGGUAAGGCCCUUCGGGGUACACGAGUGGCGAACGGGUGAGUAACACGUGGGUGAUCUGCCCUGCACUUCGGGAUAAGCCUGGGAAACUGGGUCUAAUACCGGAUAGGACCACUGCCUGCAUGGGUGGUGGUGGAAAGCUUUUGCGGUGUGGGAUGGGCCCGCGGCCUAUCAGCUUGUUGGUGGGGUGAUGGCCUACCAAGGCGACGACGGGUAGCCGGCCUGAGAGGGUGACCGGCAGCACGGGGACUGAGAUACGGCCCAGACUCCGACGGGAGGCGGCAGCGGGGAAUAUUGCACAAUGGGCGCAAGCCUGAUGCAGCGACGCCGCGUGAGGGAUGACGGCCUUCGGGUUGUAAACCUCUUUCAGCACCGACGAAGCGCAAGUGACGGUAGGUGCAGAAGAAGGACCGGCCAACUACGUGCCAGCCGCCGCAGUAA
rnacentral:rRNA from 1 species